AUCAGAUUGUCUUUUACACUUUUGCAAGCCUUCUUUAUUUAAAACAGUCUGUGGCAUAUUUCAGAAUUUGUAUUCUAUAUUGUAUUUGCAUUGAAAUUUAUUAUUGCUUUACAGAUCAAAUAUUUAUUCUAGUAAGUCAACUGAAUUUUUAGAGUACCAAUUUCUUCAGAUUCAAGGUAUUAAAUAAUUCUAGGCCAUUUUACAGAAAGGAGAUACUAUAAUAACUACUUUUUGGAUCUGAAAAUACAGCCAUGCUCUGAAUAACAAUGUUUUGGUCAUUGAUGUACCACAUAUAUGAAGGUGUUCCGGAACAUGAAGCAUCAGAUUGAAUGAAACCUUCCAAGGCCUUUCAGAAGUGUCUCGAAGUCUCCAACAACUGCAUCCAGCUACUCAUCAUUAUCAAGUUCCAAGAAAUGAGGGAUGAAAAUAAAACAUAUAGUGAAGAGAAGUCUUAUGUGCACAGUCUUUUGAAUGUUACCCAGCCAUAUAAGAAGAGACCAUGGGCCUGGAACGCUUCCUCAACAAGAGAUAAAGAGCCUGCACAUGUGUGUCAAUGGUCCUUAGACACACCCUCAGCUUCAGCAUUUCAGAUUCCAUGCAGUGUGAGUCAAGGUCUUUGUACUGUGGUUUUAGAGGCGUGCACGUAGGGUAGUUGUUCUGAGUUGUGGGGGGCACCAACCAUGGGAGAUCUAUGCAUGCAAUAGGGAUUUGUCUCCCUCUGUUUUGUGUACAUGAGUAAAAGUACUCUUCCAUCCCGUGAUUGACUGUGUUGUGUUUACCGUGGUGACUCUAAUAUCAAGAUGAAUUGGACAGAAGUAUUUGGACUUCUGGUACUGGUGGUUGACAUAAAACUUUGCAUGAAGAACACUGGCCUCUAACUAAAGGUAUGUCAGUCAUAUUCAAAGAAAUAUAGCAAAAAUAAAUCUGCAUCUCAAGUAGGAUAAUAAUCUCAGGUUAAAUCGAGUUGUUUUUAAUAUUAU
rnacentral:lncRNA from 1 species